rnacentral:rRNA from 1 species
CUUGCUCCUCUGACGUUAGCGGCGGACGGGUGAGUAACACGUGGAUAACCUACCUAUAAGACUGGGAUAACUUCGGGAAACCGGAGCUAAUACCGGAUAAUAUAUUGAACCGCAUGGUUCAAUAGUGAAAGACGGUUUUGCUGUCACUUAUAGAUGGAUCCGCGCCGCAUUAGCUAGUUGGUAAGGUAACGGCUUACCAAGGCAACGAUGCGUAGCCGACCUGAGAGGGUGAUCGGCCACACUGGAACUGAGACACGGUCCAGACUCCUACGGGAGGCAGCAGUAGGGAAUCUUCCGCAAUGGGCGAAAGCCUGACGGAGCAACGCCGCGUGAGUGAUGAAGGUCUUCGGAUCGUAAAACUCUGUUAUUAGGGAAGAACAAAUGUGUAAGUAACUAUGCACGUCUUGACGGUACCUAAUCAGAAAGCCACGGCUAACUACGUGCCAGCAGCCGCGGUAAUACGUAGGUGGCAAGCGUUAUCCGGAAUUAUUGGGCGUAAAGCGCGCGUAGGCGGUUUUUUAAGUCUGAUGUGAAAGCCCACGGCUCAACCGUGGAGGGUCAUUGGAAACUGGAAAACUUGAGUGCAGAAGAGGAAAGUGGAAUUCCAUGUGGUAAGC